rnacentral:lncRNA from 1 species
CAUGGACGGUAGUGGUAAUGUUAACCCGAAACCCGAAACGGAGAGGCGCGGUUGGGGGGUGGCAGACGGACAUAGAGCGAGACAGCGAGUGAGUGAGCGUGGUGAUGAUGGGGAUGCGUAUAGGUGAUAGGUUUUGGCCCUCGGUGGCUCAUCAAGAGAGAUGAACAUGGAUGGAGAAAAUAAGUAUUUAGAUGUGAACAUGG